GGUUCCAUGGUGUAAAGCUUAGCACUCUGGACUUUGAUUCCAGCUCUCCGAGUUCACUUCUCGGUGGAACCU